UACGAAGGGGGCUAGCGUUGUUCGGAAUUACUGGGCGUAAAGCGCGUGUAGGCGGGUCUUUAAGUCAGAGGUGAAAUGCCAAGGCUCAACCUUGGAACUGCCUUUGAUACUGGAGAUCUUGAGUCCGGGAGAGGUGAGUGGAAUUCCUAGUGUAGAGGUGAAAUUCGUAGAUAUUAGGAAGAACACCAGUGGCGAAGGCGGCUCACUGGCCCGGUACUGACGCUGAGGCGCGAAAGCGUGGGGAGCAAACAGG
rnacentral:rRNA from 1 species